GGUCAUUUGAAGCUCAGCCAGAAGAGUUGAUUUAACUAUUUUUGCUUAAAGAAUGUCUGCACUGCUUUUAUACAAAGAUACUAAGGGACUCCAAAAUCUGCUAGAUUCAUUGUGUGAUCUUUUUCUCUGUAAAUUUCUUCUCUCUUUUACAGUCCUCAUUUUUCAUUGAGGCUAGGAUUAAUGUAAUAUAGUACAGAGGGCAACGUAGUACAGAUUAGGGAAGAAAGAAACGUUCACUGGAAGUUUUUGACAGGUCUCCAAACAAGGAAAGCCCAGGUUUGCUUCUUGUAGGGAGUCUGUAUUCUCGGUCCUGAAUCUGGCCUCCAGAGGGUGAUGUUGACAAGGGACAGAUGGCUGUUUCCAAUGAUGAUCAAUACUUCCUGCUCAGCCCCUUUUUCCUGCGGCUGGCUUACUGAAGCACUGUCACUGGAGUUCUUUGAAGAUGGGACAAAUGGAGAGAAUCAAAGAUUGAAAAGCACUCAAGAUUAUCUCGGCAGUUCUUGUAUUUUUACCAGAACAAGAGACUUGCUUAGCUCAACCUUCCUCACACUCGCUAUUCUCAAGACCUGGGUUCCAGCCACUUUCUUACCGGCUCCGAGGAGAAUUUCCGAAGAGACACCUGCAGUAUUUCCACAGCUCAGCUAUGCUACUGUUGCUCAUACCAGUGCUGGGGAUGAUUUUUGCCCUGAGAGAUGCCAGAGCCCAGUCUGUAAGCCAGCAUAACCACCAUGUGAUUCUCUCUAAAGGGGCCUCACUGGAGUUAGGAUGCAACUAUUCCUACGGUGGCACUGUUAAUCUCUUCUGGUAUGCCUAGCACCCUGGUCAAGACCUUCCGUUUCUCCUCAAGUACCUUUCAGGGGACCCAUUGGUUAAAGACAUCAAAGGCUUUGAGGCUGAAUUUAUGAAGAGUAAAUCCUUCUUUAACCUGAGGAAACCCUCUGGGCAGUGGAGUGACAUGGCUGAGUACUUCUGUGCCGUGAAUGCCACAGUGAAUGGGACCGCAAAGGGAGCUGAACACAAACUUCGUAAGGUGCUAGGGAGAAUAACUGCCUCUGAAAGAUUUUGGAUUCUGACACAAUAGAAACCGUGAUGUUAGUUUUUUUUAAAAUGUAUUUUUAACUUUUAUGGAUACAUAGUAGGUGAAUAUGUUUAUGGAGUACAUGAGAUAUUUUGAUACAGGCAUUCAAUGUAUAACAAUGAUGUCACGUAAAAUGGGGUAUCCAUCCCCUGAAACAUUUAUCCUUUGUGUUACAAACAACCCAAUCAUACUCUUUUAGUUAUUUAAAAAUGUACAAUUAAUUAUUAUUGAUUGUAGUUACCCUGUUGUACUAUCAAAUACUAGGUCUUAUUCAUUCUUUCUAUUUUUUUGUACCCAUUAAACAUCCCUCCUCUCCCCCACCCUCCCACUAUCCUUCCCAGCCUCUAGAAACCAUCCAUAUGUUCUACUCUCUAUCUCCAUGAGUUCGAUUGUUUUGAUUUUUAAAUCCCACAGGUAAGUGAGAACAUGCAAUGUUUGUCUUUCUUGCCUGGCUUAUUUCACUUAGUGUAAUGACCUCCAGUUCCAUCCAUGUUAUUGCUGUGAACCCAAAAGUAUGUGAGACAGGUCUCAAUCAAUUUAGAAGGACGCAUCUGUGACACAGGUUAAGGACGCAUCUGUGACACAGCCUCAGGAGGUCCUGACAACAUGUGCCCAAGGUGGUUGUAGUACAGCUUACUUAUAUACAGUUUAGGGAAACAUAAUAAAUCCAUCAACACAUGUAAGAUUUACAGUGGUUUGAUCUGGAAUGGCAGUACAGCUUGAAGGGAAGUUUCCAGAUCACAGGUAGAUUAAAAAAUUUUCUGAUUGGCAAUUGUUUAUUAUCAAUAGAAAGCAAUGUCUGGGCUAUAAUUAGGGGUUGUGGCGACCAAAGUUUUGUCAUACAGAUGAAGCCUCCACGUAGCAGGCUUCAGAGAGAAUAGAUUGUAAAUGUUCUUAUCAGACUGAAAGUAUGUGUUGAUGUUAAUGCCAGAAAGCUUUUCUUCAGUUCCAAAAGGGAAAUUCAAAAGGGAGGGGAAUAUAAUGAGGUAUGUCCAAUCACUCUUUCCCAUCGUGGCCCAAACUAUUUUUUCAGGUUAGCUUCGGAAUGCCUUGGCUGAGAGAAGGGCAGAGGUUGGAGGUCUGAGAAUUUUGUUUUGGUUUAUAUUACAAAUGACAGGAUCUCAUUGUUUUUUGAAGUCAUGAUGUUCUUAUUCCAAGGUAUGGAGAUGCUUAGGGACUUGCUGGGUGAGUGUGAAGCUGCUAUAUUUUAAAUGGUUGAAUAUGGAAAUUGUGACAUGACACAGAGUUUUGCUUUUCGUUCACCAUUUUAUCUUUCAAUAUCCAGAACAACAGAUGAACUUCCUUUUGUAAGCAUAUCUUCUUCUUGCAUACUUACUGCUCUCUCAACUUGGUAACUUUAAAGUAGUUUCCCUGGAGUCAGCACUCUGUGCUGAUUAUUUUCUCUCCUUUUUAAGUGCUUCAUUUAGGAAGGAGGAGAUUUAUUAGGAUGCUGAAUGGCUUAGAACAAUGGCGUGCUCAUAUAGAGUCUAGUAACCUUGUCAGGAAACCUGAAGAAAGGAGAGUGAAUAACUCAAAUUCUUUAGUAGUUUUUACAGAACUAUUUUUUUUUUUUUUGAGACAGAGUUUUGCUGUUGUUGCCCAGGCUGGAGUGCUGCAAUCUUGGCUUACCGCAACCUCCGCCUCCCAGGUUCAAGCAAUUCUCCUGCCUCAGCCUCCCAAGUAGCUGGGAUUACAGGCAUGUGCAACCACGCCUGGCUAAUUUUUUGUAUUAUUAGUAAAGAAGGGGUUUCUCUAUGUUGGUCAGGCUGGUCUCGAACUCCUGACCUCAGGUGAUCCACCCACCUCGGCCUCCCAAAGUGCCGGAAUUACAGGCGUGAGCCACCGUGCCUGGCCCUAAAGAGCUAUUAAGGAGGAACAAAAUGCUAGGUCUGCUUGGCAAGACCCAUUUUUUUUUGUUUUUCCCACUUAUAAAGACCAAUUCUUAUUCUUUUCAUAUCUUAAAUUCUGCAAAUCAACUUUAUAAAUCUUCAAAAUUGGUGAAAUAGUAACUUUUGCCAAUUCUUCCAAAUGAUGUUAUUUUAGUUUUUACUCUUAUUCCAGUUUCAUAUGAUUUUACAGUUGGUAUAUUAGAAAUGAAUUCUUAUCUGUUUAACAUUGUGAUAAUUAAGUACGUGCAAAAUUUAGCAAUGUUUGGCCCCUGAAGACAUUCUAAUUAAGUAUAGUAAUGGGAAUAAAAAGGUCGAAGGGCAUGCGAUAGAUGUAUGGCUUCCCCUGGCUAGGAAGAAAAAAAUAUACAAACACUUUUUAGCCUUCUUACUUGAAGCCUUCAAGGUUAAUAAUGACUUGAAGAAAGGUAAAGAGAAAGAGGAGGAGGAGGGUUGGGCUUUUUUAUUGUCUACCUCCUGAUGCUGUCAUGAGUAAGAGUAAUAGGGAUCUGAAGAUAUAGAUAAUAAUAGUGGAUUUGUUUCCAAUGAUUUACCUAAGACAAAGGGGACACCAGUAGCGAUCAGCAUUAUUUUUCAGGUCAGAGUGAUAUGGCUAUUUGUGGCAUAUACAUUUGGAAGAUUUCCGGAAAUGAAGUAAGAUAUAUAAAAUUAUUGAUAAGAAUUUAAAGGCUUGUUCAGAUUAUAUUCUCUACUGUCCCUGAGAGACUGAUGAUCUUUAUAAAACUUAAAAACACAGCUCAGUCCUGUGUUCCAGAAUGACUGCAAGUGGGUACUUUAUACACUGCAUAUGAGAAGGAGAAAUCGCAAUUUCUUUCAAUUCCAAACUGAAGUUCAGUACUGAGGAAAUAUAACUGCUGGCACCAAGAACCUCAAGCACCUGGAAAUGCAUUUUCUGCUCUCACACCAACAACCCUGUUUGAGACGUCAGAGUAUUUUUUUUUAUAUGAUUGUUUUAUAAAUGUAAAGAACGUUAUAUAAUAUAUAUAUUAAGGAGAAGGUAGAAAUAUUUAAUUUCUAACACAAUUAUAUUUGCCAUAUGAGCAGACUGUGCCAUUUUAAAACAAUAUUAUAUUAUUUCUAUCUCUUGAUAUCAAUAAAUACAGUUACACAUAAAUACAAAGUUUCAAAUUUUAAAAAAUAAAUAAAACAUUACAAAUAAAAUUGCCAUCUCUUUUGUUUUCCUCCUCAGUUUUAAUGCCUUCAUCCCUCUCUCAAAAUAAACCUAUUAUGAACUUUUUUCUCUACUCCAUGUUUUUAUAUUUCUAAACAUAGAUAUUUUUAAACAACGUGUGGUGCUGUGUUUUGUGUAUUUAAAAUUUACAUGAAUGCAAUCCAAUUGUAUGUGUAAUUAUGAAACUUGAUUUCUUUCCUAAAAUAUUUUUGAGAUAUAGAAAAAUUUAUAUAUGUAGAUAUAUUUCAUUGCUCUUAUUUGAUAUAUAGUAUUCCAUUUUAUGAAUAUAUUAUAUGUGCCUUUUGAUGCACAUUGGCUUGUGCAAGGCCAUCAGCAGUGAUAGUCUUAGACUCAGUUACACAAUCAAGUUUACAGAGCUUAAUAGGCCACAUAGGUACUGGUUUCCCUCACAUCCUAAGUGUUCUCAAGAGGAGUCCUUUCAGGUGUCUAUACAGUUCACAGAUUAUUAUUUUUGCAAUGCCUCCCUCCCCUCCUCCCACAUCAAGUGCUAAAGUGUGAGGAAAUAAGACCCAACAGGCCAUCCAGACUUAGAAACCCCAUAUCCCAAAUAGAAACCAGUAUCUCCUGUAACAGUUAUAAAAGUCACUGCUCCAAAACUAUGACAUCUUAAAAAGUAUUCACAGUCCAUUUACAGUCCAGAUGCAGUUUAUCAAUCAGGAUCAUUUUUACCAUAACAAUCUUACUUGGUAAUACAGCUGACAUUCUACCUUUAUUGGAUUUCCAGAGAAAUGGAGAUUAGAAAGUUAAUCUAAUUUUUUC
ensembl:lncRNA